UACCCGCAGCACGAGUGGUGGUCAUUAUUAUUGGGCCUAAAGCGUCCGUAGCUGGCGUGUUAGAUGCCUGGGUAAAUCGAUGCGCUCAACGUAUCGAAUUCCAGGUAGACCGGCACGCUCGAGACCGGGAGAGGUGUAGGGUACUCGGGGGGUAGGGGUAAAAUCCUGUAAUCCUCCGGGGACGACCAGUGGCGAAGGCGCUACACUAGAACGGCUCUGACAGUGAGGGACGAAGCCCUGGGGCGCAAACCGG
rnacentral:rRNA from 1 species